AUUCAUUAAUUUUUAUUUAAAUAUUUUCCUUUGUUGGGUAUACCUGGAGUGUCCUUUGUAGAGCCCCCGAUUAGGCUCUGUCAGUGUGAUAAAACAAAUAGUUUUAACUAGAAAAGGGAAAGCAUGGGUCCACAUUCUGUUAUAAAUGGAUGGUACUUUAAUUCAUUUCCCCACCUCCCUAAACAUGGACCAAAGUGGACUAGAUUAUUUUGCAAGCUGGGUAGAAAUUCAUGCCUAAGGUCAUGCCCUUUCAUGUUUACCAGUGAAUUAUCUUUCUCCAAUUUUCUAUUGUGCAUCUGGGAAAAUUAUGCUUACAUAUCCAAUGUAAAGAAAACAUUGAGUUUAUAUAGAUUUGAAACCAAGGGGGUUUAGUAUAUAGUAAACAUAAGAAUAAAUCUUACCAGUUUUGAUUCUCAUUAGUUAAGGCUUUGUGGCAACUGUGUCCUGUUUGAUUUUAUAUUUCUAUAAGUGUGAAGAAAGGUUUCUUGUACCAUGGUAGACAAAAUUGCUUUGAAAUUAUUUUAAGCCUGAUGAAAGUUGUAGGGUCUGCUCUGCAAGCAGAAUAUACUGAAAAUUUGCUAUUAAAUUGUGAAUGUUGUGGUUUGCUCUAGCAGCCUAUUUAGUAGCAUUGUAGUAAUCAUGUAGAUUAUAUUCAGAACUCAGGUAAGAGGAAUUGUAGAGAAAAUUGUUUUGGGGGCGGGGGAAAUGGGGAGAUUGGGGAAUGGCAACUAGAGAGAGGUGUCAUAGUUCAUUUAAAAUCAUGUUCUUAUAAGUUGUUUUACUUAGGCCUAAAAGAAUAGAGGGCAUGUGCCAGGGAAUUGAAUACCCUUGUAUAUGUAGUGCCAUUUCCUUGCUCUCCCUUUAAUUGCUAUUUCCGGUUUGUUUCUCAGGUACUUACAAGAGAUGUAUCCUGGGAAGAAACAGGGUGGCAGAGUUUAGGGCCUUUGGGACUGAAUUAGUCUUAAACCUGAGAACCCAGGAGGAUUUUGACCGAACUGAUUUGGGUAUCUCCAUACAGCCAAGAAUAAAGAAAGAAAGGGAUAGAUGGAAUGAGUUUCAUCGUGAUUCUAAGUAUCCAGGAAUAAUUUAAAAUUAUUUAUCACUGUGGAUUUAAGCAUCUGGAUUUAUUUAUUUUACAAAUACUUAACAUUUUGUUGUUUUGCUCUCUAUCUUGCUAAUCCCUUUUUUAAAAGGGCUACUUGGAUGAAGGUAUAAAAACCAGUAACUUAUGAAACCCUCGGUUGGUAUCAGUGAAUUCGCUUAUUACUCAAUGUUUGCUUGUUUGACUUCAAAAAGAAAACAAUUUACCACCUGUGUCAGUCUGACACCUGCUCUUUUCAAACCCUUUUGACAUGAUCUAAAUAAAUCUCUGAAAUCCCCCCCCCCCCUUUGUGUCUAUUGUCAGUAUUAGUUUCACCUAAAUUCAGGGCCUGUCAUCCUGUGUAACAGUUGAGGCUAAAUGAGGACAUUAAUUGGUGGAAAUGUGUUGCUUCAAAGGCAUUUUUAGGAAUAAAACUACAAAGAGCUUCAUAGUUGUAAUAUAGCUGAUUCGUCUUCAAAAAGUAUUCUGUUGUUUUCUUGAUAGUUUUAGGUUUUUAUAAGUAAGUUAUUAAGAAGUGAAUGUUUGUCUGAAAUACGUUGUUUUAAGUGAAAGGUGUUAUUUGUGUUCUGGGAGUAAGCUCUAGAAUCUCAAUGUCAGGUUAGUAUUUAAGUGGAGGUAGAGCUACUAGUUUUUGUUUAAAAUGUUUUUAUGAUACAGAAUUAUUCAGGAACUUGUGUAUUGAUCUGUUUGCCAGCAAUGCCAAUUCCCUCAAAAUUCAUAGUUUUCAAUUUUUGUUUUCUUCCCACUGUAAGUACCUUUGAGGACUCUCACCCAGUUAACAUUUGUUGUGUUCAAAUUGCAUGGUUCUCAACUUUUGCUAUACACUAGAAUCACCUGGGUAAUUUUUUAGAAGUCCUGUGGUUGUACCACAGAUGAGAAAAAAUACACCCUCUGGGAUGGGAUCCAAGCAUCUGUAUGUUUAAAAUUCACCAGGAGAUUCCAUGAUGUAGCCAGAGUCAUAAAUCACUGGUCUAGGAUGUUUUUCAGAUUAGGGACCAUUUAAAGAAAAGCUGUAGAUUUUCCUUCCAGAAACAUGGGUAUUAAUGAUUCCCUAAAGCCCCAAAUUAAGAACCCCUGUUCUAGGAGUAGCCUCAACAUGCUAGAUUUAAUUGUAAGCAGCUGGUUUAAGAAAUUAUGUAAGUUGCAAUGAUGAAUAUUCCUCGUCACUCACAAAUGUUAUUCAUCAAUUUAAAAAUUAAUAUGUAUCAAGUACUCAGUGUGUUCCAGGCAUGAUUUUAGUUACAAGGAGUACAGCAGCCAAUAAGAUAUUACAGUUUUCAGGGAGUUUUAUCCUACUAGGGAAGACAGAUAAGUAAAUAAUGACCGAAGGCUAGUUAACAAGUGCUAUAAAGAGAUAUAAAAAGGAAAGAGCCUAAGGAGAUUGAAAGUGAUGGUUAUGGGAGAGAGAUGUCUAUAUUAAUAGGGUGGUCAGGGAAAGCCUCUCUGAGGAGGUGACAGUUUGAAUGAGAUCUGUAUGAAGUGUGUGAGCAAGACCUGUGAAGAUCUUGAGGAAGAGCAUUCAAGGUGUAGAGAACACUUGCAAAGGCCCUAAGAUGGGACUGAGCCCGGUUUGUUGGAUUUUCAUCAGUAAGCCCGGGGUGGCAGGAGCAUGCAUGCUGAUCCAGGUAUAGAAUGAGUGGUAGAAGGUGAGAUCAGGAGCCCUGUAAGCUGUUGUAAGCAUCGUUGUUUUAAUUUGGUAGAAACUCAGUUAUAACUCAUUCUUAAAUAUUUAGCUUUAUGCUUAAAAUAAUUUAGAAAUAACCUUGGACUUCCAUCUUUUUAGAAAUAGCUGGAAGGUUAGCACUCAGUAUGUUGUAUUACUUCUCUGUGAAAGGAUCUACAGUAGACUGAACUUGUCUAUGUUAUGAGACUGCUCAUGUCUUUAUUCUUUAUAUUCAUAAUGCUGAACACAAGAUACUCGUGUUUUUUUUUUUUUUUUUU